ACGCAGUCCUCGGUCUAGACAGGCAGUAUCAACCAAGGCUAUAACACUCCACCGAAGUAGAGCCACAUUCCUUAGUCAUUAUCCUACCAUCCAAACCGAUGCUGGCCCAGUAAGCUGCGAGGAACCCAACCAAGAAGGAAAGGAUCGCAAAAUACCAAGUCUGAUCUCAAGCCCUUCCCUUUCAACAAUUUCACGUACUUUUUCACUCUCUUUUCAAAGUUCUUUUCAUCUUUCCAUCACUGUACUUGUUCGCUAUCGGUCUCUCGCCAAUAUUUAGCUUUAGAUGGAAUUUACCACCCACUUAGAGCUGCAUUCCCAAACAACUCGACUCUUCGAAAGCACUUUACAUAGAAUUGGGCAUCUCAUCGCACGGGAUUCUCACCCUCUGUGACGUCCUGUUCCAAGGAACAUAGACAAGAGCCAACUCCAAAGUUACCUUCUUCAAAUUACAACUCGGACACCGAAGGUGCCAGAUUUCAAAUUUGAGCUUUUGCCGCUUCACUCGCCGUUACUAAGGCAAUCCCUGUUGGUU
rnacentral:rRNA from 1 species